AUUGAACGCUGGCGGCAUGCCUCACACAUGCAAGUCGAACGGCAGCACGGGAGCAAUCCUGGUGGCGAGUGGCGAACGGGAGAGUAAAGUAUCGGAACGUGCCCAGUCGUGGGGGAUAACGUAGCGAAAGUUACGCUAAUACCGCAUACGAUCUAUGGAUGAAAGCGGGGGAUCGCAAGACCUCGCGCGAUUGGAGCGGCCGAUAUCAGAUUAGGUAGUUGGUGGGGUAAAGGCUCACCAAGCCGACGAUCUGUAGCUGGUCUGAGAGGACGACCAGCCACACUGGGACUGAGACACGGCCCAGACUCCUACGGGAGGCAGCAGUGGGGAAUUUUGGACAAUGGGCGAAAGCCUGAUCCAGCCAUGCCGCGUGCAGGAUGAAGGCCUUCGGGUUGUAAACUGCUUUUGUACGGAACGAAAAGGUUUGGCCUAAUAAGCUGAGCUCAUGACGGUACCGUAAGAAUAAGCACCGGCUAACUACGUGCCAGCCGCCGCAGUAA
rnacentral:rRNA from 1 species